rnacentral:lncRNA from 13 species
UAUGAUAGUCUGUGUGUGGUGGUAAUGGAGUCCUAUGAUAGUCUGUGUGUAGGGGUAAUGGAGUCCUAUGAUAGUCUGUGUGUGGUGGUAAUGGAGUCCUAUGAUAGUCAGUGUGUUAUGUUAGUGGUAAUGGAGUCCUAUGAUAGUUAGUGUGUUAUGUUAGUGGUAAUGGAGUCCUAUGAUAGUCAGUGUGUUAUGUUAGUGGUAAUGGAGUCCUAUGAUAGUCAGUGUGUUAUGUUAGUGGUAAUGGAGUCCUAUGACAGUCAGUGUUGUUACGUCAGUGGUAAUGGAGUCCUAUGAUAGUCUGUGUGUUAUGGUAAUGGAGUCCUAUGACAGUCAGUGUGUUAUGGUAAUGGAGUCCUAUGACAGUCAGUGUGUUAUGUUAAUAGGGUCCUAUGACAGUCAGUGUGUUAUGUUAAUGGAGUCCUAUGACAGUCAGUGUGUUAUGGUAAUGGAGUCCUAUGACAGUCAGUGUGUUAUGGUAAUGGAGUCCUAUGACAGUCAGUGUGUUAUGUUAAUGGGGUCCUAUGAUAGUCAGUGUGUUAUGGUAAUGGAGUCCUAUGAUAGUCAGUGUGUUAUGGUAAUGGAGUCCUAUGAUAGUCAGUGUGUUAUGGUAAUGGAGUCCUAUGACAGUCAGUGUGUUACGUCAGUGAUAAUGAAUGGCAUGGUGAAGCUGUAAACAUCCAGGUGCAGCCUCACCAUUAUUAGGAGUUGAUAAACAGACCUCUUUAUAAACCGAGCUCUGAUUGGUUGAACAUCAUGUUAUUCUGCCAACCCUCACUUCCAAUCAAUUCAUGCCACAAAUUCUAACUCACACUCACUCAAGCAUUGCCUAUUGCCUUGUUCCUUCAUUUCCUCUCCCCUUGUCAACGUUGGUUGGNNNNNNNNNNUGUGUGUGUGUGUGUGAGUGUGUCGAUGGCAGGGUGGGCUAAAGUGCACGUAGAGAGCUUGAUUUGUUUCCACAGUCAGAGAAGUGUCUCUGAAUCGUCUUUCUAAUCCGUGGUUG